GGACGAAGGAAAAAUGCCAGGAGAGGGAGAAGAAAGAAAUCUUCCUUUUGCAAAAGGAGGCAUAAUAUGGCUUAGAGGUUGCCAAAGCAAAAGAACAGUCCCUUUCUCUGCCCUGGGGGAGCCGGGAAGAUGUGCAGCCCCAGCCCUCGUUCUCAGCGGAGCCUCGCGCGCGCAGAGCCUAGCGCGAUUCGCGCCCUCAUUACCACUACAAAGCGCGGGCCAGACCAAUCCCCUUUCUAAUGCACCAUUUUCGACUGAGAACAUCAAGAGGCCAGAAACUUCCAAGUCAGCUUGCAGACGCAGACGCCUCCUGGGUCCUGGCUUUAAGAACCAGAUGCCAACAUUCCCGGACAGUUUAUGGCAUCCGGAUCCCUCAAGGGUGCUCAUCUGCAGUUGAGAGUCUAAUAAACGGCAUUAACAAAGCGUUUCA
rnacentral:lncRNA from 1 species